GAAAUGCGAUACUUGGUGUGAAUUGCAGAAUCCCGUGAACCAUCGAGUCUUUGAACGCAAGUUGCGCCCGAAGCCAUUAGGCCGAGGGCACGCCUGCCUGGGUGUUAAAAU
rnacentral:misc_RNA from 1 species